rnacentral:lncRNA from 1 species
AAUGAUGAAAUUUUCUAUAUCUGACUCCUUAGCCAUAAAAUCUAAAACAUUACUAACGAUUUCCUGUCCUUGUCGAUGCAGACUCUUAUUUUUUACAAAAGACAUUUUCACUUAUGUUUAAUCCAAAGUAUGCCUACAGUAUUUAGUCUAGAUCUAUUGGGUUACAGCCUUCUAUACAAGCACUGGCCUACGCUCCUCUUUUUGAAUGGUGGUUUCACCCAGUACCAACUGUGCAUGCGCUUCCAUAUAUCAAUCUAUCUGGAACGAACUAUACUGAAAUUGCCAUCUUAGGUUAUUGCUGGGAAAUAAUAUGAUGGUUAUUCUGAUUGCUGG